CCGACGGGUGAGUAACGCGUAUGCAACUUGCCUAUCAGAGGGGGAUAACCCGGCGAAAGCCGGACUAAUACCGCAUGAAGCAGGGAUCCCGCAUGGGAAUAUUUGCUAAAGAUUCAUCGCUGAUAGAUAGGCAUGCGUUCCAUUAGGCAGUUGGCGGGGUAACGGCCCACCAAACCGACGAUGGAUAGGGGUUCUGAGAGGAAGGUCCCCCACAUUGGUACUGAGACACGGACCAA
rnacentral:rRNA from 1 species